rnacentral:rRNA from 1 species
GACGAACGCUGGCGGCAUGCCUAACACAUGCAAGUCGAGCGAAGGCUUCGGCCUUAGUGGCGCACGGGUGCGUAACGCGUGGGAAUCUGCCCUUAGGUUCGGAAUAACAGUUAGAAAUGACUGCUAAUACCGGAUGAUGACGUAAGUCCAAAGAUUUAUCGCCUGAGGAUGAGCCCGCGUAGGAUUAGCUAGUUGGUGUGGUAAAGGCGCACCAAGGCGACGAUCCUUAGCUGGUCUGAGAGGAUGAUCAGCCACACUGGGACUGAGACACGGCCCAGACUCCUACGGGAGGCAGCAGUGGGGAAUAUUGGACAAUGGGCGCAAGCCUGAUCCAGCAAUGCCGCGUGAGUGAUGAAGGCCUUAGGGUUGUAAAGCUCUUUUACCCGUGAUGAUAAUGACAGUAGCGGGAGAAUAAGCCCCGGCUAACUCCGUG